ACGCGGCUAAGAUUUCCAAUGCAAACAAACGAAAAUAUGAGAUUGGUGGCUAAGAAGACCCUAGACGAAUAUGAGCCACAACAGAUUCACCGCUCACUGAUAGCGUGACAGAAUGCAUAGCCUAAUUACCCAAGAAACUUCGCCGCAUACGGACAUUCACUGCCGCGUGUCCCUUUUGAUGUUCCCAAUAGAUAUCCAUCCAUGAUUGUAAUGUUAUAAGGACUUAACAUUGAGAGGAUCAUCUCGUUCCAGCAUUCCAAUGUACGGCUCGUUCUGUUCCCUUCAACACUUCAUUGCUACUCUGUCGCCCUGUUGUAUCGCAUCGGUGCUGGGUCCGGUUUUUGAGAUAUAAGUAGAGCAAUCCACAAAGAUAUGCAGCUUUUAGGGCUAUCUUAGUGAAGUAUGGGAGGGUUAGCGAUUUUUGGGGGGAAGAUUGAAGGUUUUAUUUUUUAGGCGCACAUUAGCGUGGCACCAUCACCCCUCCUGAAGGAGUUUUGAUAGUGCCACGCUGUGUGCGUCUAAAAUGGCGGACUCGGCAUUUGUCAGAUACAUGGAAGUGGAUGAACAACAUUCGUCUGGAGAAAAUGGAGUGCGCCAAAGCCUGCCUUCCUCUCUCCCACGGAUCUUGUUGAUUUCUUCCACAUGCUCAACACCUGUUACUCUGCCGGGUCAGGUUGAGCAGGAUGAACAGUACUACAAUAGGAGUAGGAUUUUGCUAUGCUCAGUUUGUACGUUGAGUGUGUUUUUUUAAUGUAAUUGUAUUUUUUUCUUUUAAAUAUUUUUUAAAUAUCUUUAAAUA